AUUGAACGCUGGCGGCAUGCCUUACACAUGCAAGUCGAACGGUAACGCGGGGCAACCUGGCGACGAGUGGCGAACGGGUGAGUAAUGUAUCGGAACGUGCCCAGUUGUGGGGGAUAACUGCUCGAAAGGGCAGCUAAUACCGCAUACGACCUGAGGGUGAAAGCGGGGGAUCGCAAGACCUCGCGCAAUUGGAGCGGCCGAUAGCAGAAUAGGUAGUUGGUGGGGUAAAGGCUCACCAAGCCGACGAACUGUAGCUGGUCUGAGAGGACGACCAGCCACACUGGGACUGAGACACGGCCCGGACGCCUACGGGAGGCAGCAGUGGGGAAUUUUGGACAAUGGACGCAAGUCUGAGCCAGCCAUGCCGCGUGCGGGAAGAAGGCCUUCGGGUUGUAAACCGCUUUUGUCAGGGAAGAAAAGGCUCCUUCUAAUAUAGGGGGCUCAUGACGGUACCUGAAGAAUAAGCACCGGCUAACUACGUGCCAGCAGCCGCCGUAA
rnacentral:rRNA from 1 species